rnacentral:rRNA from 1 species
UUGGAGGGCAAGUCUGGUGCCCGCAGCCGCGGUAAUUCCAGCUCCAAUAGCGUAUAUUAAAGUUGUUGCAGUUAAAAAGCUCGUAGUUGAAUUUCGGGGUUCAUCCGUUGGUCGGGCUUUUUUGGUCUGUACUGGCGUGAUGGAUUCCUACCUUCUGAAUAACCAGCAUGUCAUUAAUUUGGUGCGCUGGGGAAGCAGGACUGUUACCUUGAAAAAAUUAGAGUGCUUAAAGCAGGCUAUCGCCUGAAUACAUUAGCAUGGAAUAAUGAAAUAGGACGGCAUGGUUCUAUUUUGUUGGUUUCUAGGAUCACCGUAAUGAUUAAUAGGGAUAGUUGGGGGCAUUAGUAUUCAAUUGUCAGAGGUGAAAUUCUUGGAUUUAUUGAAGACUAACUUCUGCGAAAGCAUUUGCCAAGGAUGUUUUCAUUAAUCAAGAACGAAAGUUAGGGGAUCGAAGACGAUCAGAUACCGUCGUAGUCUUAACCAUAAACUAUGCCGACUAGGGAUCGGACGAUGUUAAUUUUUUAAUGACCCGUUCGGCGCCUUACGGGAAAC